ACGAACGCUGGCGGCGUGCUUAACACAUGCAAGUCGAACGGAAAGGCCCUGCUUUUGUGGGGUGCCCGAGUGGCGAACGGGUGGGUAAACCGUGAGUAACCGGCCCUUGACUUUGGGUUAACUUCAGGAAACUGGGGCUAAUACCGGAAAGGACCUCCUGCGGCAGGGGGGGGGUUGGAAAGUUUCGGCGGUUGGGGAUGGACUCGCGGCUUAUCAGCUUGUUGGUGGGGUAGUGGCUUACCAAGGCUUUGACGGGUAGCCGGCCUGAGAGGGUGACCGGCCACAUUGGGACUGAGAUACGGCCCAGACUCCUACGGGAGGCAGCAGUGGGGAAUAUUGCACAAUGGGCGGAAGCCUGAUGCGGCAACGCCGCGUGCGGGAUGACGGCCUUCGGGUUGUAAACCGCUUUCGCCUGUGACGAAGCGUGAGUGACGGUAAUGGGUAAAGAAGCACCGGCUAACUACGUG
rnacentral:rRNA from 1 species